rnacentral:rRNA from 1 species
CCUACGGGAGGCAGCAGUGGGGAAUCUUGCGCAAUGGGCGAAAGCCUGACGCAGCCAUGCCGCGUGAAUGAUGAAGGUCUUAGGAUUGUAAAAAUUCUUUCACCGGGGACGAUAAUGACGGUACCCGGAGAAGAAGCCCCGGCUAACUUCGUGCCAGCAGCCGCGGUAAUACGAAGGGGGGCUAGCGUUGCUCGGAAUUACUGGGCGUAAAAGGGAGCGUAGGCGGAUAGUUUAGUCAGAGGUGAAAGCCCAGGGCUCAACCUUGGAAUUGCCUUUGAUACUGGCUAUCUUGAGUAUGGGAGAGGUUAGCGGAACUCCGAGUGUAGAGGUGAAAUUCGUAGAUAUUCGGAAGAACACCAGUGGCGAAGGCGGCUAACUGGCCCAUUACUGACGCUGAGGCUCGAAAGCGUGGGGAGCAAACAGGAUUAGAUACCCUGGUAGUCCACGCCGUAAACGAUGAGUGCUAGUUGUCGGCAUGCAUGCAUGUCGGUGGACGCAGCUAACGACAUUAAGACACCUCCGCCGUCGGGGAGGUACGGUACGGCGAAGAAGUUAAAACUAACGUAAAGGAAAGUUAGUUACGGACGUUGAGACGUUGCCGACGGACGACGACGAGGGGAGGAGG